UAAAAAAAAAGGAUCAACCAGUAUACUUCAAAUAAUAAAUGUAUUAAAAGCAGUUCGUAAACUAAUGUGACCAAAAGGAUAUAUAUCAAGUUUGAAAAAAAAGUGUCAUGUCCUUG